GCAGAGCCCCGCGGCAAGGGAGUUGCGGGCGCACAGGAAUGGCAGUGUGGACCUCUGUGAUGGGACAUCUUGUGGGAUCUCACAGCCAGUUCUGUGGCAAAGGAGGAUGAAGGCUUACGAGGACUCGUCAGGAAGCUGGAUAACAGAGCGAGCGCAAUGUGCUAGAAUAGAAGACCAGAAAAUGAAAUGGUGGAGUUUGAGGCUGGAUAGACAGUUUGAAAGGUAAGUAUUGAAAAACACUUGAAUUUGGGUCAGUACAAAGGGACAUGCAGAGACUUUGAAUCAUCAAAACUCCAGCAUGCAUUGUCUUACGGAUGUUUAGAUAGGUGUGUUUUGGACAACACUCUGGGUUCUUGUAAUGAUGUUGAUCAAAUGUCUGAGCUGAAAAUAACUUGUAGACAAUUUUUAACACUGAAGAACCUUGUGGCAGGCAACUAAGAAUAGUCGAAUGAUGUUUAGCAUAUUUGUAAGAGGUAUUUUCUUUUAAUUCUAGUUAACUGGUUGCAUGCUUGUUCAUUUGGCUGGCUUGCUUGGGUAAGAAGCCAUUGGGGGCCUUGAAUUCCCUCCAGUCAUUUGCAGUAUUUACUGCAUAACAUUUAGCUUUUGAACAUGCAUGUGCUACCAUCAGUACUAAAUGGUGCCUUAAAUUUUUUUCAGGUACAAAUAAUGGUUUGAAUAAAGAAAGGUAUUAAUGGGUCACCUCAAGUGAAGG
ensembl:processed_transcript Gas5 growth arrest specific 5